GGCAAGAUGGCCGAGUGGACUAAGGCGGCACGUUCAAGCUGAAAUCUUCAAAAACUUUGAACAACUAAAUCUUGGCUGCUGUAAACAGCGGGCUAGAGAUCCGUGCUCUCGAGAGAGUCCUGGGUUCGAAUCCCAGUCUUGUCA